AAUGCUCGAAGCCUCUGAUAUUCGUUGAUAUUCCCCUUCCUCGCCUGCUCGUCAGAAGCACAGAAAUCAUUUCAGAAAAGUGUUAGAAAGUAAAGUACCGAGGCCAAUAGUUAUCUGGAAAAAAGGUGUAUCCCUUCGUUAGCUACUGAACACUACUUACUCAUGCAUACAAUCCUCACGAAUUUGUUC